AGCCACACACCUGUGUCGUAAUCCCUGCGGGACUGUGUCUAUCAGACCUCCUGUCGCUGGAGGGCAGUGGCCUCACCAAGCCUCCCUGACCGCCCCUCAUCUGCGCGGGGGUCUCCUCAGGGCCGGGCAGCAGCGCUCCGCCCGCCGGAAAAGGCAUCGAGAGCCGCCGGGCCUCGGCAAGGCUGGGGCAGGAGGCCACUGAUGAAAAUGCUGCUCCUGAGUUCAUUGCAACCCUCAACUCACAGGUUUAAGAUGCAAAGCAUACAGUGAGAAAGGUCAACACUGAUGUACUUCAGGCUUGGAGCAUCCCAUGUGUGACUGUGCUGACCUUCCUCUAAAACACUCAGGCUAUAUGGAAAUUCAAGAUUGCACCAUGACCUUGGGCUUUUUACCUAUGUGACACAAAGAAGGCUUUCUCCUGGGGGUGGUGAGCUUGGAGGCGCUUGGAGAAAUCUGGAUUUUCAAACCUGGGCUUGGAGCUACUGAAUUAACCCCUGGAGGUACCUACGGUGUUAAGUCUGAUCCUGUCCAACCACAGCGACACUGGAUACUGUGGGAGGAGGCACAUGGAACAUGACAGAGCAGAAGUGAAGGCAGCACUUCAGUGGCAGAGAUUCAAGCUGGCAGGCAAGUUAUGUCACUUUGUGGUGCUUUAUGACCUUGAGACACUGUCUCAAUAAAUCAUGCCAAGUAAUUAAAAACAUAAUUUAGAGCUUAACUAGCAUGUCAGAACACUGGGUAUACACUGGUGAUGCUUUUCUGUUUUCCUUCCCUUUCCCCCCCAUGAUGCUGUGCUCCAGCGGAGUCAAACCACCUACUGAAGGCAAAAACUCAAGACACAAUUAGUGGCUUGCUGCCAGCCACAUAAAUACAAAGAAGUUGAUCUAGCCCAGCUAGCUAUCUGCAGGUGCCCUGGAACCUCCUGCUGUCUGUUGAAUGGCCUCCUCUGACACCACAAGCAAAACCACAGGUUCUCCUGCAGUAUAAAUAUUUUCUUGCUGGUUUAAAUAGAAAACAGAUGUGUCUCAUUUAGUUGUGACCCUGAACACUGAGACUAGUAGCAAAGCAAGAAAAUGAUGGUAAGAUAUGAGGCACUUGGAGAAAAAAAAUGAAGGCAGUUGUAGAACUCAAAGUUGCCAAGUCAGAGACAUCAUUUGCCUGUUUAUUAGAUCCUUAGAAAAGAGAUUUUCAGUGGUGAUAAUGGGCAAAUAAUUGUCAGGUUUUGGGUACUAUUCAACCCCAUCCUCUGGCCCAGCACAAAGUGUGACAGAGCUGAGUGGCCUUGGCAGCAUGGGGAAGUCCCAGCUCCCAUGUUGGUCUUUUUAGCAGUAUUAUGGCAGUGAGAUCAGGGUGUGAGAAUGAGAAAAUGAACUCGCUGCCCCUAAGAAAAAGAUUCUCACAAAGAAGAGCAGAAGGAGAGAGUAAGAGCAGCUUCAUUAGACACUGAGGUGCAAGAUGGUGAUUUAAUCUGGGACAGAGCUGCACCAUACCUGUGUUUCUGGCAGGUUCAGUCCACACCAUCCUUGUACCACAAAACACAAAGCAAAUGCAGGAACAGAAUAACCCAGAUGUUGGAUCUCUGACCUUGGCUCAGGCUGUCUGUUUGUGAGCAGUUAGACAGCAGCAUCUGCCUGAUCUGGGGAAGGCUGCAGAGAUACCAGAUCUGUGGGAGCAGGCAAAGGACUGGAACAGCAUUUAGCAGCACUUUAUUGUCAGGGCCAGGCUGUGUAUGUCUGUGCAGGUGAAGCAGUGAAAUCAAGCAAACUUAGCUGUGUUCCUCUGUGGGCAGUGUUUGAUAGAUAAAGGUGCUCGUGCACUUGUUUGGAAGGGAGAAAGAGUAUAGAACAUUGUACAUCUCUCUCUCACAGUUCGGUUACUUUGGCAGAAGGUCUCACUGGUUUUCUUUUACAAAGGAAGCUGUUCAGGGAGGAUAUUCUCACCUUUCUUUAAACUGUGCUGGAGCCUCUUGCCACCAGCUGUUUCUGUAUUGUUACCCACCGCUGCCAUUUCAUGGGGCUGCAGCAGAGCUUAUUUCUGCUGGUUGCCACCCUGCUGGCAGUUAAUCGCCUGAGCACAAAAUGAAUCACGUGACAAAAAACUCAGAGCUAAUUAAUUUUUAAUUUGUGUCGUUUGAAAGUACAUUGCAUCUUCUUGCAGUUGGACUCUAAAGUGUGUCAUUUCCUUAGGCCGGGGGGCAGCCUGUCCCGGUUUGGGGUGCAAGACCCGGCUGCCUUAUCAAACCAGUGCCAUGCUGGGUAAAACCUGGUGCAGCCCAUCUGGAUCAGAUUAAGUUUGACUUUAUUCUUUUUUUCCUCUUUUUUUGGCAAGAGCCUUGGUUCUUCAUUUAUUAAAACAUAAACUUCACUUGAUGCUGUAAUUGCCCAGCUUGACAAUAAUAAAUCUUAUGAGCAGGUUUGCUGUUGCCAUGCUUGAAGUAAUGAUUUACAGUCAUUCACACAAAAUUUUAGAGUCGUAGUUUGUUUUUACAGUUAUGUAUUUCAAAGUCAGUGCAACAAACUGAGGAAGUGUGGUGUUCCGGUGCCUGUUGCAGUGGCAUAAGACAGCCUAGGCCAGCGAGCAGGGUUGUGUUUUCG